rnacentral:tRNA from 1 species
GGGCGAUUGGCGCAGGGGUUAGCGCGUCUGCUUUACACGCAGUAGGUCGGGGGUUCAAAUCCCUCAUCGCCCACCA